CACGAUGCCGGUGUCAGGGGGAAAAACACCAGCUACGUACGGAGCAGAAACACAGGAAGCGAUUGCAAAACGUCCUUCCCCGCGGCGCUACCAGGGGCUGGGUUCUCGCCUCGCUCCCUUUUGAGGCGACAGGGAGGAAACGCAGAAGACGAGAAUGCCCCGAAGGAGGAAAGCUUGCAAACUUCUUGGGGCAGCCUGAAACGCUUCAAAACCAGGCGUGUAACUUCAGCCGAAGGGGAACCAGCUGCCCUUUGCCCAGGAAGCAUCCCCCGUGGCCCUGCGCCCUGGCACGGCAGCCCCCUGGCCCACCCGGGUCGUUCUGCAGCCACUUCUCCAGGGGACCCCACAGAGCUCGCACAAUUGCUUUGCUUCCGUGGGCAAGGCUGCUUCAGUGGGUUUUGGGAACUUCGGUUUCAGAGAAGUGGCUGCAAUUUAAAUAAAGGCAUCAGGUGCUCUCUGAAGCAAAACCAAACACAGCUAGUGUUUUGGCUGCUGAUGUUCAGUCUCAGGCUGCAGCUUCACCGUCCGGGCAUGGCUCCCUCCCUGUGCUCUCCUUUCCCCCAGGACCUGGCUGAUCAGAAGCCUUUGCAGCCUGAAACGAUAGCCACAUCUGAUAGCAGAAUAAAGCACAGGUUCAGAAGAACCGGCUGUGGUGAGGCAAAACCUGGCACCUGUUCCCCCUUAACAGCACGGGGUGGUGUCCCCAUGUCCCCUGGCCACCAUCCCACAGGGGGCAGAGGGAGGCGAGGUGACAGCCACCUGCAGCUUGGUCCCGAAGCCAUCCUCCACCUGGGGGAGAAGCGGGAGGCAGCAGCAGCGCUCUGCUUGGAAGCCCAGCGGCGUUCCCAAGGCGCCUGACUAUUGCAGAGGUGCUUAGGUGUUUACAAAAUACAUCAGUGGGAAUACAGAGGGAGGUUUUCGAAGCUGGUUGCUGUGAUUAACUUUUCUACCACUGCGAAGGUAUCUUUGAACUGUCCUCCUCUAACUGUGCUUGCGAUGGUCAAACUCCAGGAUCGCCCUGAACCUUCACAUUUGCCCUGUUUCAGUGGCUGGCGCAGCAACAACAACAAACAGGUGGACGGGAGGAAACAGAAAAACAUCACGGUUUUGGUCUACGGUCUCGUGCUUUGUGCAAUCAGUUUGGACAGCAGAAUUGUGCUUUUUUUCCCCAAGCCAACUUCCUACUAUGAGCUAACACAGAUUUGUAGGAACACUUCCCACCACACAGCUUGAAUUCAUUUUUGCUGCAGUUGCAGGCACGUGCGUCUUACUCCUUUUUGCUUCAAAAAAACAAGAUUUGUGCCGAGGAGCAGCUCCUUCCUUGCCUGGGAUGUUACAGGAGCAGGAGGCGAUGCUCCAGGGGCCUUCCGGUACAUGGGAUGUCUGUAGUGAAGGAGGGUCCAGCCAAACCAAGAAUUUCCAAAAUGUUUUGUGUUUCUACUGCUUGUUGUUGUUGUUUUUAAUUAUCACUACUUCUUUAUUGCUUACUGGAUUGAUCUUAAGCAGCACAGGCCGAGCUGCAAAGAAAGGGAGGAAACAUUUCAAAUACAGCUAAUAAAGACCUGGGGACCCAACA
ensembl:lncRNA